AUUUUUCCAUCUCCACAAAUAUUCUUGGUCUCUUCAAAUUAAUUGCUUCUUAAUCCAACUACCAUUUUUCAAGAUUAGUUCGUUUAUAUAAUAUUUAUUUUUGUACCAGUGUUGAUCAAGUAGGUUAUUAUUGUGAGGAAUCAGCAGUAGGAUGCACAUGUAUUUGUUUCUUGCCACUGGUUGCAAAAGCCUAAAAAAUGAUAUGUUUUAUUCACCUCUUAACAGUAAUACGAGUAUUUUGUUUAUUUCCUACUCCCUUUUAGUGUUUACUGAUUAGUCACUCUUAAAGGUGAAUGCAUGUGUAUAAUAGGUGUGUCAUGGCUGCAUUUUGCGGCCCCUGACUACUGGAAAGUAAUCUCCUUUGGAUGAUUUGUAUUUUUUUCUGGAAUUUGUACUUAGAUAGCGCAUCCAAGGAAGGAAGGAGAUUGAGGUUGGCACCUCCUGAAGGCAUGCAUGCUCUUCACCGAGAGAGGGAAGGGCAUCUUUUUCUUGGGUUGCAGUUUCCACCUUGUUGUUGGGUGAGAGCUCUUGUGGAUAAUCAGACAUGGGGUGCAUGGCAAAAUUAGGACAGACUGAAGGCAGCAAAUUCCGCGUUGGCCGUGCACUUUGAGGAGAAGACAUUGUCUUUGUAUAAGUGCCCCUACAAUCAUCUCUUUACAGCAGAGAUAAGGCCUUCAGAUAGAUAUGGCCGCAUAAAUCGCACCGAUGGAUCCAGUCCUUCGCUAGGUCCAACCUACCCUGCACCAGCCUCAAGCACGUUAUUCAGUCAACGCAUAUUCUGUCUUUUGGCAUGUGUAUGCUUGCUCUUGUGCUCAUGUUGUAAUCGUGACCUGUAAUCAGUCCAUGAUCCUUGUGUGACCAGAAGUUGGGCAUAACUGCAUUGUUACUGAGAAGAUGUGAAUAUUAACUUAGGGAUCGGAGCUGAAGCUCUAGCCGAUAGCAAAGAUAUGAAGUCUGUGCUCUGUCUUAUGUUUGCAAGUAUAUUGAUGUAACUUCACAUCUUGAAUGGAGUCACUCCUAUGUGUACUGCCGCUGU